CAGCCGCCGCGGGAAUACGAAGGGUGCAAGCGUUAAUCGGAAUUACUGGGCGUAAAGCGUGCGUAGGCGGUUUGUUAAGUCUGCUGUGAAAUCCCCGGGCUCAACCUGGGAAUGGCAGUGGAUACUGGCAAGCUAGAGUGUGUCAGAGGAUGGUGGAAUUCCCGGUGUAGCGGUGAAAUGCGUAGAGAUCGGGAGGAACAUCAGUGGCGAAGGCGGCCAUCUGGGACAACACUGACGCUGAGGCACGAAAGCGUGGGGAGCAAACAGGAUUAGAUACCCCGGUAGUCCCUGUCUCUUAUAA
rnacentral:rRNA from 1 species